GAGGUAACGGCCCACCAAGGCGACGAUCAGUAUCCGGACUGAGAGGUUGGCCGGCCACAUUGGGACUGAGAUACGGCCCAGACUCCUACGGGAGGCAGCAGUGGGGAAUAUUGGGCAAUGGACGCAAGCCUGACCCAGCAACGCCGCGUGAAGGAAGAAGGCUUUCGGGUUGUAAACUUCUUUUAAGAGGGAAGAGCAGAAGACGGUACCUCUUGAAUAAGCCACGGCUAACUACGUGCCAGCAGCCGCGGUAAUACGUAGGUGGCAAGCGUUGUCCGGAUUUACUGGGUGUAAAGGGCGUGUAGCCGGGCUGACAAGUCAGAUGUGAAAUUCCGGGGCUCAACCCCGGACCUGCAUUUGAAACUGUUGGUCUUGAGUAUCGGAGAGGCAGGCGGAAUUCCUAGUGUAGCGGUGAAAUGCGUAGAUAUUAGGAGGAACACCAGUGGCGAAGGCGGCCUGCUGGACGACAACUGACGGUGAGGCGCGAAAGCGUGGGGAGCAAGCAGGAUUAGAUACCCUGGUAGUCCGCGCU
rnacentral:rRNA from 1 species